CAUAGGGCUGAUGAGGUCUUUGCAGCAAAUUGGAUGCACACACGUAUUAGAUUUGUAUUGUCAAGGUUUGCCUUCUCAAAGGGCAUGUCUCAGCAUGAUCCUGGAUUUGCCGAAUUACAGUAUGAAGCCGCUUGGCAUGCCAGAAACUGGGACUUCUCCUUGACACUGAAGCUAAAUUGUCACCUUCCAGACAGUGCAUUAAAAAUAAUCAUUUUAAUGAAAAUUUACACAGUUGCUUGAGAGCAUUGCAAGAAGGAGAUUUCAAUGAAUUUCAUAUGAGGCUUAGAGAUUCAAAGCUGGUGCUUGAUCUGUUGAUAUAUCAUGCAAGCAAGGAGAGUACUCAAUACAUCUAUUCAUCUAUAGUUAAACUUAAGGUACACAAUAUUUAGAAGCA